UACAGAGGGUGCUAGCGUUGUCCGGAAUCAUUGGGCGUAAAGAGCGUGUAGGCGGUCCGAUAAGUCCGCUCUGAAAGCCCGGGGCUCAACCCCGGGAGGCGGGCGGAUACUGUCGGGCUAGAGUCCGGAAGAGGCAAGUGGAAUUCCUGGUGUAGCGGUGAAAUGCGCAGAUAUCAGGAGGAACACCGAUGGCGAAGGCAGCUUGCUGGGACGGUACUGACGCUGAGACGCGAAAGCGUGGGGAGCAAACAGG
rnacentral:rRNA from 1 species